UUGAUAGAGGCGCGGCGCGCAUCAGUACCCGUUCCAUCCCGGCAGGCACGCCGGAACGGGGAAAGGGUCCGCCGCCGAAGGGUCCGGCGGGUGCACCUCCGCCCGACGCCUGGGCCAUGGGAGAAGAUCUCUUGGACUGCCAUUUACAGAAUGGAGCGCUAUCA
rnacentral:ncRNA from 1 species